CGGCUGUCAGGAUGGAUGCAAUGGCGACCAGCUUCAGCUUCAUUGCGCCCUGCUUGUCUGCCCCAUCUGUUGCAGCUGUGCAGUCGCAACCGCUGGCUGCAGCCUGCUGUGCAAACAAGAGGAUCCAUGGAAGGACUUGCAAGGAGGUAAUGAGCUGAAUGCUAAGGAGCUGACGCGGGCAUACUUCUCUUCCUUUACCCAGGUGGGGUCUGGUACUCCCAAAUUUCAACAUCAUGUGGCCAUGUGUCACUAACCUCAGUGUAAAGUGCCGUUGAUACUUGAUACUGGAAUGCCAUCCAGAAACUGGAUCUCUUACACUUUUGAGAUCCACCAGAUUUCCAGCCUCACUUGAAGCUUGUUUUCCACCAUGGUUGACAGCUUCAGCUGUCCGAAACCUGGAUUUGUUCAUCCGGUGACAGACGCGGUAUCGUCCGGUUGGCCCGUGUCAUUACCGAUCAUGGAUGAACGAAGACAGAGAACACCUGGUAUCACAAUUCCCCGGGGUAUGGGGAAGGAAAGUGUUUUUGGCUGAUGACGGCUGAGGAUUUCAUCAAUCAUUAAGUGGCGAUGCUUUAUCA